rnacentral:rRNA from 1 species
AUUGAACGCUGGCGGCAGGCCUAACACAUGCAAGUCGAACGAGUGGCGGACGGGUGAGUAAUGUCUGGGAAACUGCCCGAUGGAGGGGGAUAACUACUGGAAACGGUGGCUAAUACCGCAUACCAUCGGAUGUGCCCAUAUGGGAUUAGCUAGUAGGUGGGGUAACGGCUCACCUAGGCGACGAUCCCUAGCUGGUCUGAGAGGAUGACCAGCCCCACUGGAACUGAGACACGGCCCAGACUCCUACGGGAGGCAGCAUUGGGGAAUAUUGCACAAUGGGCGCAAGCCUGAUGCAGCCAUGCCGCGGGUAUUAAGAAGGCCUUCGGGUUGUAAAGUACUUUCAGCGGGGAGGCGUUACCCGCAGAAGAAGCACCGGCUAACUCCGUGCCAGCAGCCGCGGUAAUUC